GUGUGUGUGUGUGUGUGUGUGUUUGUGGGCAUGUUUUUGUAUCAUAUCAGGACACAACUCUGUAUAAUGUCAUGGGUAUGACACAGGUAUUACAAGGAGAGGGUGACUUAUGAGGACAUAACCCAUGUCCCCAUUUUUCAAAACACUUAUAAAUCAUACAGAAUGAGUUUUUUUGAGAAAGUAAAAAUGCACAAAGUUUCCUGUGAGGGUUAGGGUUAGGUGUAGGGUUGGUGAAGGGCCAUAGAAUAUACAGUUUCUACAGAAUAAAAACCAUUACACCUAUGGGAUGAACACACUUUACAAAAAAACAAAUGUGUGUGUGUGAGAGAGAGAGAGAGAGAGAGAGAGAGAGUGUGUGUGUGUGUGUGUAAGAGAGAGAGAGAGAGUGUGUGCAACAAUGCUUUGCACUGAGAUAUUUCAAACAAAUGUAGUCUUGAUAUGAAUAUAGUUCACAGAAAAAGAGAGAUAUCUGAACUCUAAAUCUACGUAUAUGAAUAAAGUAUAUUUGAUCACAUCGUAUUUCAGACUAGAAAUAAGAAUAUAUUUAAGUAGUGAUUGCAUUAGUUAUCAUUAGUUUCGAUGUGUAGUUGAUUUGCACUAUAGCCUAUUUUACACAUCUGUUAUAUUUUUUCCUGCACAAAAAUAUUUUAAAAAGGAUAUAAAAAGUAAAAUAAAUUGCAUUAAAAAAAUAUUAUUUGUGGAAAGCGGGAACACCAGAGUAGGCUUUUAUUAGUGUGCCUGAUGGGAUUCGGGAGAAGCAUUUUAGUGUACACUAGUGAGUGAAGUGGCUUCUUUAGGGAGCCUAGUGAGGGAUCUGUGUCUGAAUGUACUGAAAAUGUAUUCUUUGGAACGUUAGAUGCACCAAAAACAAAUAACAUAUGGAAUGCUGCUGUUGGGUAAUAUAGAACAUUUAAAACAAAACCAAAAAAAAGUAGAAUAAAUAAAAAUGAGUAUAGAUGUUGUGUGAGUUGUAGCUGUUUUAGAGCACGGUGUAUUUUAGAUGGGGGGGGGUGUACUGUACAUAUAGAUAUAGAUGUUUGUGAUGUCACUGUCCACAGACAGAGAGAAAGGGCUCUUCUUCUUCUUCUUGGGAGGGCAGGCGGUUUGGGGUUGUAUGCCUUUAGUAUUGAUAUGCUUUUUUCGGUCUUGUUUCUAUUUGUUACAAGUGUUUAAACAAAAAAAAGGGAACUUCCUUCUCAAGAUUGUGUUUGGAAGUUUCUCACGACUCUCUCCUCUGCUGUCUGAGCACUUCCACCUUUCUUUACUUGCGGGACAUCCAUAACGUCACGAAUGUACGGUGCUGUCGCUCACACACAUGUGAAAUCAAUGAUGUCAUCGCGGGGGGGGGGGGUCGAUGUGCUACUUCUGAAUUAUGGGUUAUGUACCGUACACACAGUACAAACGACUCAAGCCUUAAGACAUAAAAAUGUAUAGAAAUGAUAGAAGCUAUAUUAGAGAACGCUGGUCUGCUGAAGAGUCAUUCCACUGAUUGUCUCAGGUGUUACACACACACACACACACACACACACACUCAUCCUGCCAGGUUUAUGUCUGUUUUAGGUCUGUUUUUACAUCCAAUCAGAAAUGGACAUGUCUAUGCUGUUACUUUUUAAGAAUUGGGGUACUUUGAUGUUGACUGCUAAAUAUGUGGUUAAAAGAAAAUAAGAAAUGAACUUAAAAUUAAAUUAAAUUAAAAAAAGAAAAUGUAGAGGGUGUGUUUCUGUCACUGUCUGAAAAUACAUAUUCAUAUUCAAUUAAAGUAAUGCAUGUCCAGAAAUACGUUUCCUGGAUUUGCCGUAAUCAGGGUAUCUUCUGUCCAUUACAAAUCUGUUUUCAAUUAAAAAAGCUGAAAACGAAAGACUCAAGAGGUUUCAAGUGAGAGAACAUUAAUUCAAUAAAGAGAAAUUCAAAAAGG